UCGAGCGAAUGGAUUAAGAGCUUGCUCUUAUGAAGUUAGCGGCGGACGGGUGAGUAACACGUGGGUAACCUACCCAUAAGACUGGGAUAACUCCGGGAAACCGGGGCUAAUACCGGAUAAUAUUUUGAACUGCAUAGUUCGAAAUUGAAAGGCGGCUUCGGCUGUCACUUAUGGAUGGACCCGCGUCGCAUUAGCUAGUUGGUGAGGUAACGGCUCACCAAGGCGACGAUGCGUAGCCGACCUGAGAGGGUGAUCGGCCACACUGGGACUGAGACACGGCCCAGACUCCUACGGGAGGCAGCAGUAGGGAAUCUUCCGCAAUGGACGAAAGUCUGACGGAGCAACGCCGCGUGAGUGAUGAAGGCUUUCGGGUCGUAAAACUCUGUUGUUAGGGAAGAACAAGUGCUAGUUGAAUAAGCUGGCACCUUGACGGUACCUAACCAGAAAGCC
rnacentral:rRNA from 2 species